rnacentral:lncRNA from 1 species
AGGGACCCCCAAACUCAUCUACAUCGAAUGCUAGUGGAGGUGCGAAGAGUAAUAAGAAAUCGGGUGGGCAGAAGAAAUCAUCAGAAGCAGCAGGCACUACGCAGUCUUCAAGGUUUUUUUAAUAAAAAUGUUAACUGCAGUCUAAAUGUACUAUACUACUUACAUUUUGUGGAUAUGCCUAAGCAAAGUUCUCUUUUGUCAUCAGCAAAAAGCAGAAGACAUCUGGAGCCUUCCAGGAACAAAGCAUUGAUCAACUUAAUGAUGUCACUGCUGUUAGUGGUGUUAAUAUUAGGG